GACGAACGCUGGCGGCGCGCUUAACACAUGCAAGUCGAGCGAAGCGGCGGACGGGUGAGUAACACGUGAGUAACCUGCCUUAGACAUUGGGAUAGCCUCGGGAAACCGGGAUUAAUACCAAAUGGUCUAAGAGGGCGUCGCGUCCCAUUAGCUAGUUGGUGAGGUAACGGCCCACCAAGGCGACGAGGGGUAGCCGGCCUGAGAGGGUGAACGGCGACAUUGGAGCUGGGCAACGUUCCAAACUCUACGGGAGGCAGCAGUGGGGAAUAUUGCACAAUGGAGGGAACUCUGAUGCAGCGACGCCGCUUGAACGAAGAAGGCUUUCGAGUCGUAAAGUUCUUUUAUAUGGGAAGCGGUACCAUAAGAAAAAGCCCCGGCUAACUACGUGCCAGCAGCCGCGGUAAUUC
rnacentral:rRNA from 1 species